AGAAUCAACGCUGGCGGCGUGCCUAACACAUGCAAGUCGAACGCUCGUAGCAAUACGGGAGUGGCAGACGGGUGAGUAACGCGUGGGAACAUACCCUCCGGUUCGGAAUAGCUCAGGGAAACUUGGAUUAAUACCGGAUACGGCUGAGAGGCGAAAGAUUUAUCGCCGGAGGAUUGGCCCGCGUUCGAUUAGCUUGUUGGUGAGGUAACGGCUCACCAAGGCGAUGAUCGAUAGCUGGUCUGAGAGGAUGAUCAGCCACAUUGGGACUGAGACACGGCCCAAACUCCUACGGGAGGCAGCAGUGGGGAAUAUUGGACAAUGGGCGCAAGCCUGAUCCAGCCAUGCCGCGUGAGUGAUGACGGCCUUAGGGUUGUAAAGCUCUUUCGCUCGGGACGAUAAUGACGGUACCGAGAUAAGAAGCCCGGCUAACUUCGUGCCAGCAGCCGC
rnacentral:rRNA from 1 species